rnacentral:lncRNA from 1 species
UCAAUUUCUCCCCAGGGUGGAUGGGGGAAACAGUGCCUUCAAGAGGCUUCACCAAACGUACUAGAAGAUCCUACCCCAAUUCCUUAUAGGAGUAUAGGCCUGUCUAAAGUGAGCUCUGUGGGCAGAGCUACCCCUUACUUAUAACAGUAGGGAUGAGUACCCAAAAGCUCAGUCAGCCCCAUCAGGACUCUUGUGAAAAGAGAGGAUAUGUUCACACCUAGCUUCAGUAUUUUCCCUGCCAGGGGUUUUAGGUCUCUUCCCCUCUCAGAGCUACUUGGGCCACAGCUCCUGCUCCACAGCCAUCCUGGGCUUGGCAUCUAGAGCUUGAUGCCAGUAGGCUCAACUAGGGAGUGAGUGCAAGAAGCUGAAUAUGGUGAGAGAAGUCUGUGCCCUGAUCCCAGUUUACUCAACCCUCUCACGUGACCAAAAUCCCCUUCUCGUCACUCCCCUCCAAAGUGGUGACUGGGCCCUGCCUCUCUUUGACAAACCUCUAACCCAGGAGCAUCCACCUCCUUCUCUGUCUCAUGUGUGCUCUUCUUCUUUCUAUAGUAUUAUGUAUUUUACUGAUAUCUAA